CAAACUGUAUAUUAAUUUUUAGAUCCUUUUCUUCCUGUAAGCUCAUACAUCCUUUGCAAGGAGAAUCACAUCUGGUUUUAGUCUCCUACCGGUCUCUGAUCUGUAUUUCUGUUUUGCUGCCAUUGGGCAGCUGCUUUGCCGCUAUGUUCCUGCUUAUGUCAUGAAACCAUAUUGCUGGUGAUUUUUGGCUUAAACUCAAGCUUUUGGUCAACACCUAGUAAAAAAAAUAUGUCUUGCUUCUUUUUAUUUUGGAUCUGAAAUACUUUUGUCACUUGGGUUGAUCCUACACAAAGAGGGUUUUCUCUAAAUCCUUUGAAAAACUUUGUGCCUUUACUAUCCUGUUAACCACAGUUUACACUUUAAGGCAUGUAAAAGGACAAUUCUAAAAAUCUCACAUGACCUGAGGAAAACAUGAUCAAGCAAUAAUUAAUACUGUUCACAUCCAAUAAGUCCAAAUUCCUGCAUUCAGAAUGUUUCUCUUGGCAUAUCAUUCUUGUCAGCUCCAUUUUCAACUUGAGCUAGCAACAGACUUAGAGCAAGCGUUCUGCAGGUUCUUGCGUCUGGGAACCUUCUCUUCCUUUGCAAGGCAACUUCAGACAUCUGUUCUCAUAUACAAAUACAAUAUACUUCUCAAUACACCAAGACUGCUGAUGUCACAGCUGAGGCUAUCAAACAAAGCUACCCAACCUUACACUCAUCCAUCAUCCUUGAGUUAUUAA
rnacentral:lncRNA from 1 species